rnacentral:misc_RNA from 1 species
AACGCACCUUGCGCUCCUUGGUAGUCCGAGGAGCAUGCCUGUUUGAGUGUCAUGAAAUUAUCAAAAUUUCCUAGCUUGUAUAAGAUAGGAUUUUUUGGAUCUAUGGAGGGCUUUUGCUGGCUUUUAAAAUCAGCUCCUCUGAAAUGUAUUAGCAAAAAAAUACUCUACAUGCUAACCUUUUUUGGUGUGAUAAAUUUCUACACCAUUAACUAUAUAAGGUAGCAGAUAGCUUUUUAGCUUCUAAUUGUCCAUUUCAUCAAGGACAGCUCUUUGAUAUUUGGCCUCAAAUCAGGUAGGAUUACCCGCUGAACUUAA